CCUACGGGUGGCAGCAGUGGGGAAUAUUGGGCAAUGGGCGCAAGCCUGACCCAGCAACGCCGCGUGGGUGAAGAAGCGCCUCGGCGCGUAAAGCCCUGUCAGCAGGGAAGAAAAUGACGGUACCUGACGAAGAAGCCCCGGCUAACUACGUGCCAGCAGCCGCGGUAAUACGUAGGGGGCAAGCGUUAUCCGGAUUUACUGGGUGUAACGGGGGCGCAGACGGCGAUGCAAGCCAGGAGUGAAAGCCCGGGGCCCAACCCCGGGACUGCUCUUGGAACUGCGUGGCUAGAGUGCAGGAGGGGCAGGCGGAAUUCCUGGUGUAGCGGUGAAAUGCGUAGAUAUCAGGAGGAACACCGGUGGCGAAGGCGGCCUGCUGGACUGCAACUGACGUUGAGGCCCGAAAGCGUGGGGAGCAAACAGGAUUAGAUACCCGGUAGUC
rnacentral:rRNA from 1 species